CUACAACAUCAGCGACGGCAGAACAGGCAGCCCUCAUUCGGUUCUGCGCUCUGUGGGAGGGCGGCGGCAGCGGAGACCCGGAGCAGUUACAGGUGAUAACUAGUUUUACUCCACGUGCAGGGAUGCAAAGGACAGUAAUUCCAGGAGUACCUGACCUGGAAAUAAAAGGAUGCACAAUUUUUAAAUAUUUCACCAUACCAGCCUGUGCAAAGUGGAAGAGUAGAAACAAAGUGGACCGAGAUCUACUGAUAUGGCAUGAGGCUCCUGAGAAACAAAUGUGAUAUAAGAAAACUCUCAGAGCCCUUUUGGGAAGACCUAUCGUUCUGUUGGUUGGACUGGACCGUGAUACACACACCAAACCUAGACACAGACAUUCCUGUGCCAGCAGCCACAGUGGAUCUUCCGUGCUGUGGGCCAAGGCGGUGCUGUGAGCCAGUCCCUUUGCUGUGUGCGUUGAGACAACACAAUCUGGGGUCCACAGUUCCCUGAAAGAAAGAAAUAAAAACAUUCCAGCACUUCUGGAAGCUGCAGCAGUGGCAAAACUGCACAUACCAAAGCCAGCCAAAGCAUUCGCCAGUGAGAAUGGCAGGAUUGGGGGUUUGGGUUAAUUUUAAAGUUAAUUUGGAUAAUCAGCUUUUUAGCCUUGUGGAGGUUGUAGCAGCCCUGAGUUCAGCUUAAAAAUUCAAGAAGAUAUGAACUUUUUUCAGUCCCUGUGUUAAUUGCAAACAAAGCCCAUGCUCCCUGCUUCCUGACCUUGACAAUGACACUGCUUCCAGCAGCUAUAAAUGAAACUGAAAGCGGAUCCAUGAGGAUAAUUAUACCACAGCAGAGGUGUCAACACAUUGUUUGUCCUGUAGAACUUUUUAAGGAAUCUGGCGCACACGAGACAGUUCCUGAAAGUAUUCACUGAAUCCAGACCCCGAGCUUUCCCACUGCUCCUGUGGAGUGCUCAGUGGAAUGAUCACUAACCUGGAGGAAAUUGAGCAAAUACAGAAGCAGAAGUCACAGAUGGAAGAGAUAACAAAGGAUUCUGAUUUUUCUCCAGGUUUAGGAGGGUGGUGAGGCCCUGGCACAGCUUGUCCAGGGAAGCUGCCUCAUGCCUGGAAGUGUCCAAGGCCGGACUGGAGAGGGCUUGGAGCAACCUGGGCUAGUGCAAAGUGUUCUUGCCCACAGCAGGAAGCUGGAGCUGGCUGAUCUUUAACAUCCCUUCCAACCCAAACCAGUUUGUGAUUCUAUGAUUCCCCGAUUUCCUGCAGCUUUAUACUACCAAUAAACCCGAGUGUCCAAAGUUAACUGACUUCACAGACUCACCGGGGGAAGGAAAUGUGUUUUUGAGGUAUUACUUCCCUAACAGGAGCCUACACUGACUUCUCAGUGAUAUGCAAUCCAUUCCCUAAGAGCCCUAUGAACAGGAAACACAGCUGUGAGUCAUACAACCUUGUGGAAACUGGGACACAAAAAAAAAAUAAAAAAUU